UACGAAGGGGGCUAGCGUUGUUCGGAAUUACUGGGCGUAAAGCGCGCGUAGGCGGUGUUCUUUGUCAGAGGUGAAAGCCCGGGGCUCAACUCCGGAAUUGCCUUUGAAACGGGAACGCUCGAGUCCGAGAGAGGAUGGCGGAAUUCCUAGUGUAGAGGUGAAAUUCGUAGAUAUUAGGAAGAACACCGGUGGCGAAGGCGGCCAUCUGGCUCGGUACUGACGCUCAGGCGCGAAAGCGUGGGGAGCAAACAGG
rnacentral:rRNA from 1 species